rnacentral:snRNA from 1 species
AUACAUACCUGGCAGGGGAGACACCAUAAUCAUGAAGGAGGUUUUCCCAGGGUGUGGCUCAUCCACUGCACCCUGGGUGUGCUGACCCUGUGAUUUCCCAAAAUGUGGGAAACUUGUCUGCAUAAUUUUGGUAGUAGGGGACUGUAUUUGUGCUUUCCUCUA